AGGUGGGUCUGCAGGCUCAGAGCUGUGCUGGGAGGGGUUGACCUGCAGAGACACACAGAGACAGAGACACACAGAGACAAACACAAAAGAGACACAGAGACAGACAAUAAGAGAGAGACAGAAACACAUAGAGAGAUACAGAGACACACAGAGACAGAGAGAGACACAGAGACAGACAAUAAGAGAGAGACAGAGGCACAGACACACAGAGACAGAGACAAACGGAGACAGAGACGGACAGAGACACAGAGAGAGACAGAGACAUACAGAGAGACA